CUGAGCAGCACGGCCGAGAGGGAGAAGUGAGAAUGGCCAGGACGGGUAGGACUUGGCGGUCCUUCAAGGAACACAGAGAGAGCCGUUAAAGGAAAAGUAAGAAAGAGUCUUCAAAUCCAAAAGGGCACUAUCGAAUACCAAGAGGUGUUUCAUCCCUGCUGUUUGUCCUUUUGUCCCUACUUGUCUUCUGCUUUGCGAAGUCAAAGUGCAGGAAGUGUAUGUACACCGACAUUGUCUAGAAAUAAUGUGAAAUUUUUAAUACACUGCACAUUUCUUAAUGCGUCCUUUCGUAACCUUAUCACGUAUCCUUUCUCAUUGUGUCCAGUAAACUGUCAGCCUAUGCUUGAGAUACUUCUCUUGUUAUAUUGGUGUGUUUUUUCGAAUGGUAAACAGGUUUUUCAGGCCCCCUGACUUUUAGAUAGAGGAAGAUAAAUAGACAGGAUUGGCUUCAGCCAAGAAGACACUGACGACAACCGUGAUAAAACAGUCUAAAGAAUGUAUGAGCCGUAAUCAGAUUUUCCAGCGUGUGUAACUUUGUGUUUUUCUUAUGUCCUACACGCGUAGAGCACGACCAUAAUGUGUAAGUCAUAAAUGGACUUUUUAAAGGCUUUUUAAAGACAGGAUAUUAAUCGUGAUGAAUUGUAAUUGUAAAAUAUUGAAGAAUAUUUCAGCAGUUGGUGACACUGAUCUGAAUUCCACCUUUUGUAUGUUUCAUGACCCUCGAACUUUGAGACCCUCAGCGGCCGGGUGGUUAACGGAACCCAUAAUGCAGCUGAUUGGUUCGUUAACAGCUGGAUGUGGAUUCCGUUUCCCGCCUUUCCUGCAAAAAGGUGACAUUUCUCCUGACAGUCUCCAUUUUAUAUCUGGUGUGUUUGAAAGCAGCUAACCUGGUUUAAAAGGCUUUCAAUAUGGAUUUUGUGAGUAAACUAAAUCGACUUAAAAUGAUGGUGAGUUUUAAUUUAGCUUAGUUUUGGAAGUACUGUACCUUUAAGUUGAUUUAGUGCCGUCCAUUAGUUUCACACUUUCGUCAGGAGAGAUUGUUCUGAUGUUGCUGCGGAAUGACACGUUUUCUCCCGGAUUGCCAGAUAUCCUAACCGCCACCGGGAACUUCGUGUCAGCCAGCAGUGAUAUCCAAAUAUCCAUCAGCAGAUUGAUUAUCCAAAUUACAUUCCGGGGCUCUAUUGAAAAUAAAUUUAAGAAAAAAAUGUUCAAUAAAUAUAUAUUUUUUACCAA